AGUACCAUUGUAGUUCAGGAGGGGUCUCUGGCUUGGUACUCCAGAUAGGUGGUAGGUCACAAACAGCCACAUCACAAAUGAAAAAACACACCUUGUUAUGCAGGUAUGCUGAAUGUUUUCUUCCUGGUGCAUUUUUCUCCUGUCAGGUGAGGAAAAUGGCUCUGUUUGGGACCUACUUGGAAGAGGCAAAACAGUCUGUGACAGGACACUUCUGUCUGCCAAAAAGCCAGCUGUAGUGAAGGCUUGGACGAUGCUCAAAGGAAAAUCAAACCCAAAACAGGAUUACCUUCCCAGCCUCUGAGAUGGGUUUGAUCUAUACAUCACAAAAUGCAGGUUUCUCUGUUUCUUCUGUGAAGACCUCUUUGUGACAACUUCCUUACUGAUUCUGGAACCUAAGUAGCAUUGGGCCAUGACAAUGUGCCACUUAAAACUCAAUUAUCUUGAAAAAAAUCUGAAUUAAUCAAUAAACAGAAGGCCUCA